UACGUAGGGAGCAAGCGUUGUCCGGAAUCAUUGGGCGUAAAGCGCGCGUAGGCGGCCCUGUAAGUCCGUUGUGAAAGUCAAAGGCUCAACCUUUGAAAGCCGAUGGAUACUGCAGGGCUAGAGUCCGGAAGAGGCGAGUGGAAUUCCUGGUGUAGCGGUGGAAUGCGCAGAUAUCAGGAGGAACACCGGUGGCGAAGGCGGGUCUCUGGGCAGUAACUGACGCUGAGGAGCGAAAGCGUGGGGAGCGAACAGGA
rnacentral:rRNA from 1 species